GUGCAGCAGUCGCGAAAACUUCACACUGUGCGAAAGCACGAUGAGGGAAUCCCAAGUGCUUGCACGUAAGUGUAAGCUGUUUCUCUGUUUAAAACGCAGGGAGAGUAAGGGCUGGGUAAGACGGGUGCCAGCCGCCGCGGUAAUACCUGCAGCCCAAGUGGUGACCGUUAUUAUUGGGCCUAAAAACGUCCGUAGCCGGUUUAAUAAAUGCCUGGGUAAAUCGUGUAGCUUAACUAUACGAAUUCCGGGUAGACUGUUAAACUCGAGACCGGGAGAAGUUAGAGGUACUCCUGGGGUAGAGGUGAAAUUCUGUAAUCCUAGGGGGACCACCAGUGGCGAAGGCGUCUAACUAGAACGGGUCUGACGGUGAGGGACGAAGCCCUGGGGCGCAAACGGGAUUAGAUACCCGUGUAGU
rnacentral:rRNA from 1 species